UAUGUCUUGGGAAAUUAUGAGCUAUAUACUUAAUUUGGGCACUUUGUAUAUAGGGAGUUAUUAGUGCAACCGGCCGAAUAUUUA
rnacentral:ncRNA from 2 species